GGUCAGGGCCGGGAGGUGGUGGAGGUCGGCCAGGGUGAAGCAGUCGCAGCCUAGGUACUUGGACUGGCUCAGGCGGACCUCGUAGAUGUCGAGGACCUUGGCGAGCUUGGCCUCGUUCUCCUCGACUACUGCAGCAUCCGUGGCCAUGCCAAUUUUCGACUUGUACACGAGCUCCCGAUGCAGCUUCGACGCCGCCGGGUCAAACUGGUGGGCCUCGACUUCCAUCCACACGCUCACGGUUGCCAUGGGUUCGCCCUCGCAAACGAGGGGAGUGCCCUUGUCCUCGUAUACGUGAGCAAUGUAUUGAGUAAUUGCCCUCGAUUCUGCCACCACAAAGAGCAUAAUCAAGACAAACUAUAUUUCGCCUAGUUGUUUAUUGUUCUGUUGACUGAGUGAACAGUCAAAGAUUGACUAAACACUUGAUCUUUCAUCAUGAUUGCACGAUCUAUCGGCAAUCGAAUCAGCGCCCUUUGACUAAAUACUUUAAUCUUUAAUGAUGGUCACACAAUAUAAUACAUCAGUAAUAGAAAGACUUACCGAAUAGCUUCAAAUCUCCGUCCUCGAAGACCGGGACUUGACCGAAAGGCUGCACAGAGAGAUCGAGAAACGUUAGAUCCAAGAGACGACGGAGGAUUUCUUGAAAGACCACGUCGAGACCCCAGGACCAGAAAAUAGUUAGGAAUACUGUGGCACGGGCGGUGGGCGGGGACGGACACUUACGUUGAGGGCGAGGAAAUGCUCCUUCUUGUGCUCGCCGGCUCGCAAGUUGACGAAGACGAACUCGAACUCGAGGUCCUUCUCGUGGAGGGCAAUGAGGAGCCGCAUCGUCGGGGCGGAGAAGACGCUUCCGUGGACCUUCGUAGCCAUGUUCCUGUCCGUCGGCGAGAUUCUUAUCUCCCAUUCUUGGAAAGGAGAUACUAUUGUUGUAUUAUUCUUAUUUCCUUUUUCUGCUAAAUUCCACUAGAGGUGAGCAUUGGAUCGACCCUGGAUCGGCCCAACCCUAUUGGUCCUAAUCCGGUUCCUAGGGAGACUGGGUUAGUUUUUAGUCCUAGAAUUUCUAGACCAGUACUGUGCGGGUCAGUUCUCGAUCAGUCCAACCCGGAUCAACCCUGACUCUCUAUAUAUAUAUAUAAUAUUAUUUAUAAUUUUUUUAUAUAGAGAAAACCCUAAAAUAAAUAGUGUCAACAGCAUUAAAUGGCUAUUUAGUAAUGAGUUCAAGUAAUUUUACAUUAUUCUUUAAUAACUUGAAAAUCAUAAUUUAUGAAGGAGGAAAAUGUUUUUGUGAGAAGUCCUCACGGUGUCCAAAAAAGUAUAAACAGCUCCUUAUGGCAUCCCCUAUAGUAUUUGUUCUCUUCUGUCUUAUUUGUUAUCUUAAUCUUCAAUUUGUCAAAAUCGAAAUAAACAACUUCUCCACUCGCCACUCGACACUCACCUUGCUCGCUUUAGGUCAUUCGUGCCACUCGCCGCUUGAUUCUCACUUGGCUUGCUACUCCCCGCUCAACAUUCGAUGCUCAUUCUUUCGACGCUCACCCCACUUAACCCUUAAUGCUUGCCUUUCUUAACUGACCUUACUUAUCAUCGAACUCAUUGGGUUAGUACGGUCAUUGGUUGCCAUUUCAAAGAGUACAAAAAAUAAAAUAAAAAUUAUUAGUUGGUUCUAGGUUGACCUGGAAACCGGACUAAACCCAUUGAGUCAAUCCGGUCUUUAAUGGCUUUUUUAAGAAGUACAAAAAAUGAAAUAAAAAAUUAUCGGUUGGUCUCGGGUUGACCCUGGAAUCAGACCAAACCCAUUGGGUCGGUCCGGUCCUCGGUUCCAAGCUCAAUUAGGUCGGUCAUCGGUCCUAAAAAUUGAGGACUAGCACUGUGCAGGUUGGUCCUAGGGUUAGGGGGUGGAUCGGUCCAACCCGAACCAUGCUCACUCCGAAAUUCCACACCAUCUAUCAUGGCACUACUUUUUUCGUGGUCUGAAAGCUUCUCAGAAAAUGAAAUACAUCGGUGGCAGUUGGGAUUGGACCGCCUAAACUUGAAACUGUGUGGAUUCUACCAGCCGAUUUGGUCCAAUACUAAAGCAAUGAGAAAAAAAAAACAAUCAGUUCCAUUAGACCGGAUCAGAAUUGAACCGAAUCGGUGAUGUGGUCCGAUUUCCGAUUCUAAGACCAAUCGAUCCAAUCCUUAGUUCUUAUUUUUGGGAACAUGACUGUCUCUUGGUCCGAUUUCCAAUUUCACCUUGGAACUGGAUCGGAUUGAGAACCGAUCACCCUUACUUGAAAGGAGACAACAAAUCCCUAUGCAACAGGUAGGCAUAGCAAUAAGUUACUCAUGCGAAACGUGCCUCUACUCAGAAGGAUAAUUUUUUGAAAAGCAAAAAGGCAAUUCUCUCUUUAGAAAGACUUUGAGAAAACAUUAAUUAUGUUUCAAAAAUGAGAAAGAAUGGAAAGAUUUUUCGGGUGGGUCGAAAAUAUAGAAAACUUCUAAUUUUACUUAAGGCAUAAAAAGAGUGUAAAAUUUUUUCCCCUUUUUUUGGAAUUUUCUUCUCUCUUCCAUUGACCAUGAUUGCAAACAUAAGGAAAGGGCUAAAAGUUGAAUUUGAUUUCUUUUUUGUCGAAGAAAAUUUUAUUGAAAUUACGAACAUGGUCUAAAGAGCUCGGAGCAAGGCCAAUCUAAACAAAGGAGGGCCCAAAGGCUUUAAGGAGGAAAAGAAAGCCGGUUUUGUGGAAGUGAGCCAAUCCGUCAUGUCUUCGCAGCUCAGUCGGUUACCGCAUUAGAAGCCCGCGAACAAUGGACUAUGCAAAUGGAUGGAUGGGCCUUGAGUAGCUGUAAAAAAUUCACGAUAAGAAGUCGCUCCUCCCGGUUGAAAUUAUCUGUAAACCCGCUUAUCAAAGCUUCCACGAGAUCGGCAUGGUUGAGCUCAAUUGCAUGGUUUGCGGGACCAUCUUCACUCAAAACUACAAGCUGGAUUGCUUCAAGGACGGCUAGGGCUUCCACCUAAGAAGGUGAUGAUAUCUUCACCAAUUUGGGGAAAGCCGUAAUAAUAAUACAAGCACGAUCUCUGUAGAUACCAGCUAUGACGCCAUCCACCAAUCCAUUGACAAGGGAGCCAUCAACAUUGGAUUUUAGGAUUUUCUCCUCCAAUGAGAGCCUAGGUAUACAACUUAUAAAGGUGGGAUCUUUUAUUGUAUUUGAUGUAUGAAAGAUCCAUUUUAAGUAAUUUGGUCGCUAGAAAUAUGUUGAUUGCAUGGCAUGUCGUGCAUUCGGAAAUUUGCCCUGAAAUACAUUAUAAAAAGAAGACAUUAAUGAACUUCUAUGAAAUGGCUUCAUGGGAUUCAGGCAAUUGUCUUGAUCAUGGGAUAUCAUUGAGACAUAGGAAUCCGUAUUAUUAAAAGAUUUCCUACAAUUAUUUCUAGUAUGGAAUGAAUCAAUCAUCCACUUUGGUAUCUUAGGGUCCGUUUGUUUCGCGGAAAACAAUUUCCGGGAAAAUAUUUUCCAAAAUUACCGAUGUACCGAUGGCGGAAAAUAGGUAGUCAAAGAAAAUGUACCGAUGGAGAUCCUAAUAUUGUGAAAAAUGAUUUCUUCUUUUGAAAAGAGGAAAACAUUUUCCAUAACUUCUUCCACCUUGUUUCUUUUCACCAACACAUUUAUGCUUUCUUUUUCUUUCUUGUUUUUUUUAAUCGAGUUUUUAAUUUUUUUUCCUUUUCUUUUUUUCUUUUCUUCCUUGGUGGCCGUUUCAUCUUCUUCCUUGGUGGUCGGUUGCCAGCCACGGCGGCGGCCGGCAAUCGGCUGCAAGCCAGCUUGAGCCUUGCCCCAGGCUAGCAAGGCUUCGCCUAGCCCAAUCUGGCGAAGGGAGCUCGCCCAAUCCUUGCGAGCUUGGGCCUCGCCAAAUCGGGCGAGGCAGAGCCUUGCCGACUUAGGGUAGAGCUCGAACCUCGCCAGAUCCAGCGAGCUAGGUGAGGCUCGGGCCUCGCCCGAGCUCGCCAGAGGUUUGCCAGGCUCUAGUGAGCCGUGAGCUUGCCGAAUCUGGCAACGAAGCUUGGGCUCAUGAUCCAUAGGAACCCGAGCUCCACUGCCAGAUCGACAAGCUCGAGCGAGAUUGGCCGAGCCUCAAGUUCGUCGGAUCUGGCGACUAGGUGUUGGUCGGCCGCCAGGUAGCCGACCAUCAUCAGGCAUGCGGCAGUGGAGGAAGGUGGAGCCGGGAGGAAGAAAGAGGAGGAAGAAGGAAGGAAAAAAGAAAAAGAAAGAAAUAAUAAAAAUUUCGAUUUUUUAAAAAUAGAAAUAAUUAAAAUUUUAUUUUAAAAAAAUAUAAAAAAAUAAAACUAAUUUUUUAGUCAAUUAAAAAUAUUAAAAUUCAAUUUUUGAUAAUCUUUCCCAAACAAUUAAAUUAGCUAACGAAUGGUGGAAAAUAUUUUCCACUUGAAGUUUUGGUUUCGGCCAAACACCGGAAAAUAGUCAUUUUCCUGGAAAAUGACUUUUAGGAAAAUGUUUUCCGGAAACAUAUUUUCCAUGAAACGAACGGACUCUUAUUGAACAAAAAUGGUGAUAUUGUUCCUUGAUUGAUCAAUAAUUACGAUUUUUGGGAAGUAUCAUGAUCAUAAAAAAAUAAUGGCUUCCAUUUUUACAAAUGAACAAUUUGAAGACCUAUUGAUUCUAACAACUAAUUGCAGAGUUGAUCAUUCGGAUCUUUCAAUUCAUAGACAUGGAUCUCGAACCUAUGAAUGGGGGUAUUCACGAAACUCACAAAGAAAAAAAGGAAGUGAGUUAGACAAAAAAAAAAGAAGAGGAAACUUGGACAAAAUGAAACGAAGUGACUUAGACAAAUCUUUUUUGUUGAGAACCUUAGACCAAUCAAUCAAAUAUUGAUUAAUACUUAAUUGAUCAAAGACUACUUGAAAACGGCUCUUUAGCUUAGAAACAAAAUGUUCCAAAUGUUCUUGGAAAUUCUUGCUCCCAUUGGACCAUUUGUAUUUAUAUGUAUUAGGAUAUCGAUUCACAGAUCUCUCAGUUCAAGAAAUAAAAAUAAGAGGAUUGAACAAUUUCUUCUAACUAUUUUUCAAAUUCGAUAAAUGUAGGUUGAUCUUAUAUUUCAUUAUCGUUUUAUGAUUCAAAGUAUCAUUUCAUAUUUGAUCCCUUUGAAUUCCAUAUCCAAAAUUGCAAUCGGAUUCAUUCAUUAAAAAGAAUCAGUUCCAUACAUUUCUUAUGUACCCAUAGGUGCUAUAUUGGAUUUGAAUUAGAUUUCGGAUCCAUCUAUAUUGAUUAACUGUCUCAUUAUGUUGUUACUAGUAAAUACCAUUAUUUUUUGUUUUGGAUCUUUCAAAUCAUUUUCGCAUGAGAUCCGAACCCAUUUUUUCUAAUCUUUCAAUAAAAAGAUUCAUUUUCUUCAAAAAAGAGAGGAGGUAGAACCAAUAAAGAUUUCUUUUUCAAUUCAUCCCUGGAUUUGAAUACCUCAUUAAAGAAUUAUUUUUGAUCUAAUACGUAAGAAUCCAUAGAUAAGGCAAAUCCUUUAAGAUACAUCAAAUCUAGCUCACUUAUUGAUAGAGUAAAUAGAUCUGCCAUUAUUUGAAAUCUCUCUUCUGAUUCAAAAUCGUGGUGUAAUGUGUAUCAACCUUGUUUCGGUCAUGAAAUAGACGAAAUAAAUCAAAAAAAUGUAUUUUUGUUUAAGAAUGAAAUCUUAUGGAAACUGUGCAUAUCCAGUUCAUCCUUUAGAAUCAUAUCACAUCCCGGAUCUGAUGAAAUAUGAUGAAUUGAGACAAUACUUUGUAAAUACAUAAUUAUCUUAUAUAUAUUAACUAUAUCUUUAUUUUAUGAUCGUUUGGAAAGGACAAAAGAAACAUCUUGUUCUUUCUUCAACAAUUUUUUAUCUCUAGUGGGCCUCUUAGUAGGAUUCCAACCUAGAUGAAGUUUUGACCAUCUGUCAAAGAAAAAAGAAAGAAUGGAUCUUGUAGAAUUCCCAAGAAAUUCUUCGAUUUUUUUCGGAAGCAAAUGAUUCUUCAUCUCUUUCUCACAUUUCGUGAAUAGUUGGGAAUAUCUAGAAAGGCAUUUAGAGAAUCGGUCUGAUUCUAACUCUGUUCGUUUCGUUUGAAGAAAUGAAGGAUCCCAAAGAAUCAAUCUUUCUUUUAGUUGUUGAAUCUCUCUUUGAUUGAUCAAUGUAUGAUAUUCUGAAUCCUUAUUACUAAUGGAAUCGAAAUGAUCUCUGGAUUGAUCAAAAGAUCCUUUUAAUUGGCUAGAAUCCGUUAUUUGAACAAAACUAGAUCUUGUACAAUCAUAUUGAAUAUUUGACGAUACAUUUUGUAACUUGUUAAAAAAUCGGUCCUUGUUUACCAACCACACAUUGUCUAACCAAAUUCAAUUCUCUCUCAAUAUGUUCCUCAAAAAAUCUGAUUCGAGUAUUCUUCCCCUAGCUGACAAAGAGAUCUUGGCGGAAUUGCUACAUAUGAAAUUGAGCACAAUUUUCCAAAAAAAUAGCCCACUUCUUUCUCGAGAAGAGAUGGGAAAUAGGCUUAAUAUCAUUUGAUUGAAUAGUUGACCCAGCUCCUUGUUGUUUGAGGAAACCCUCCACUUCAAUUGGUAUUUUUUUCACGAAAAGCAAACAUGAGAAAACAAAUCUAGUCUUUAACUAAGAUUUCGAAUAGCUAUCACGAAUUCAAAUUAAUUAUGUUUCGUCUCUUACUUGGAGAAAGAUGAUCCAAAAUUCCCAAUCACAGUACUUGCAGAUCGGAUCAUCCAUAUAAUAUACAAAAAGAAACUCCAAAUAUUUAAUAUCUUUUCCUUUGAAUGAUAUCUCAAUUCCAACAAUGGUUUCAUUAGAUAUCUUACAACUAGAAUCAUCUUUUUUCCGCUCCAAUUCCUCCAACACUGCAAACCCAAGUUAAAUCCAGGCAUGAUACAUUUUUUUGUGAUUGGGAGAACUCAAUUACUCUCUUUCGGAUCUAGGAAAAAGCUCUCAGAGAUCUUUUUUUCCUUUUGGAAGAUAAAGGAGCCAAACGAUCAACCUAUUGAUAUUGGAAGAUCCAAAAGAUUCUUCCAAUGUAUCAUUUCUAGGUCUAAUGGAAUUCAUAGGUAUAGGAAAAAGCCCUAUUAAAUAGAGAUUUUUUCUUUCGGCCAUAUUUCAAUUAUUAAUACAGUAUAUAAGGACUACUACUACAAAUAGUACUACACCAUUGAUCGUGAAAUAUCAAGUGCUUGUUGAAUCCUGUGAAUUGCGUGAAAGUAGGAUACUCCAAAUUCGGGGGUCUAGGAGUUUUAUAAAAUGUUCUUGGUGAAAAAAAAUGUGGAUGAAAGAUCCUACGAAAUUGAAUUGGGUGCAUGAAUCUAAGAAAUAGUGAGAAUUAUGGAUCUCUCUCAAUUCGAAAAUCCAGGAUUUGAAUUGACAUCCUUUCAUUGAUUUCUCCUAAAUUGAAUUAAUUUCUCCUAAAGAUUUCAUUUCAAUUGGAAUUUGGUUACUCACCAUGUACGAGGAUCCCUGCUAAGCAUCCAUGGUUGAAUGGUUAAAGCACUCAACUCAUAAUUGGCGAAUUCGUAGGUUAAAUUCCUACUGGAUGCACGCCAAUGGGACACUACAAUAAAUCUAUUGGAAUUGACUCUAUGUCAAUGGAAUCUAAUCAUCCAUACAUAACGAAUUGAUGUGGUAUGUUAAUAUACCUUUAAUGUCAACUUUAAUGAAGAAUCAAGAUCAAGUAGGACAGAAAUAAAGCAUUGGGUCGAACUCUUCUGAAAUGGUAGAAGAAUAGGACCUAUUCUCAGUAGAAGAAUGGGACCUAUACAGGGACAUAUAAAGCAUUACAGACGUAUGAUCAUUACACUUCAACUGGGUUAUUCUAUUCCACCUCUUAAAAAGAAAAGAACUUAAAUCAAAAUGGUUAAUAUUAAUAGCAUAGCAAUAUAUUUAUACAAAACUUCUACCCCCAAGCACCCCAAGCACACGCAAUGGAGCCGUAAACAAUCAAGUGAAAUUCAAUACACAAAAUAAUUUGAUCUAUGGACAGCAUCAUUGUAAUAAAGGUCGUAAUGCCAGAGGAAUCAUUACCACAUGGCAUAGAGCGGGAUUUUCAGAUAGUCUAAUGAGUUGUAGUCGCCGUGGGUAAUUUUACAUUUGAUUUACAAUGCACUACUUAUAAGUAAAAUGAGAAAAAUGGUGCAUUGAAAACUGCAUAAUUUUCUUUAUAUUUUUUUAACAAGUUUUUUUUUUGUAUAUUUUUUUAACAAGUUCAUAAAAGCACUUUUAAACAAAGUCCAAUUUGGAUAGGAGAAUUUUCAUUUGGCCCCACCAUUUUGAUCAUUUGCUUGCAGCCAUGCAAAGAAAGUGACCAGAUUUGGCCCAUAAAUUAUAAACAAGUUGAUAAAGACUUAAGUGGAAAGGACAAAUAGUAACUUCAACUCAAAUAUUUCCCAGCCUGAGAGUUUCUUAGUAGAUCCACUGUUCCAUGUCGUGAGAUCAGCCUUUUGGAUGAGGAAUGAGUAGUGUGCAAAAAUCAAGAAUUCAUUGUGCAAUUGGCACGCGCCUACCCUACCAGAGCAGCCAUGGCCUGGAUCCGGAAGAAACUUGUGGUGGCCAUGAUGGUGAGCUCGACGGAGCUCAAGUGGCCAGCUCAAAGCAGGGACAGUGGGAGGGUGUCUUCUGGUUUCUUAUCAUUUUUAUCGUAUCCUUUUUUUCUUUCUCUAAACUUUUUAUUUUUUUCUUUCUCUAAACUUUUUAUUAUAAAAUCUUUUAAUUCUUUUCCAGACGGGGCGUUAGGUAGAGUCAGCUUUUUUUUUUUUUUUUAGGUAGAGUCAGCUUUUAGUCGGUCAAAUCAUUGAAUUAAUAAAAAUGUUCAUUAUACAAAUUUGAAUAGGAUUCAGUCGUACUAUUCAAAAGUUUUAGGUCAAUUACAUUUGCUUGAUGAAUUUUAGAAUUACUGAUGUAGGUAUCCAUGUGUAAAGGUAAUACUCAUCCAUGGAUAUAGUCCAGUGAACUUCUAUGGUACUUUAACAGAUGAAAGCGGGUGAAGCUUUCGUGACUAGUAGGGAAACUGUAGGCCAUCCUAUGGAGAUGAUGAGAGGAGAGCUUUGUAAUCAGUAAAGAUAAUACCAGCACUUGCAGCAAUCAUUACACUCUAAUGAAACUAGAAAGAUGAGACAUACAAGCCAAUGACUCAUGAAACAUAACUCUGCAUCUGUCCAAUCUUUUUAUUGCUCAUAAUAGAAAAUCACAGAACCGGAAGUUCAGUUCUGUGAAACACCAGCCUGGUCAUCAUCUCCAACUUUGAUGAUUGAAGACAACCCAUAAGAGAAAAUCCCACAUAAAACAUUGACCCAACAAGGACAGAAUCAACAACGAAAUACAGCUAACAACUCAUAUAAAAAGGGGUAGGAAAGGUCUAAUGUUACGGUCCCCCAGCACCAGAUAAUUUAAACUAGACCCCUUUGCAUCACUGCUGGUUCCUCAUGGCAAGAACCUUGGCCAAAGCCGGCCGGGCCAUGAUGUCGGCCACCCAAGCGCUCACCUUGGGGCGGGCGUCGAACAGCUUCUUCACAGGUGAAGCCAUCAGGUUGGUCAGGGCCGGGAGGUGGUGGAGGUCGGCCAGGGUGAAGCAGUCGCAGCCCAAGUACUUGGACUGGCUCAACCGGGCCUCGUAGAUGUCGAGGACCUUGGCGAGCUUGGCCUCGUUCUCCUCGACUACUGCGGCGUCCGUGGCCAUGCCGAACAUCGGCUUAAACAGGAGCUCCCACUGCAGCUUCGACCCCACCGGGUCAAACUGGUGGGCCUCGACCUCCAUCCACACGCCCAAGGUCGCCAUGGGUUUGCCCUCGCACACGAGGGGAGUGCCCUUGUCCUUGUAUACAUUAGCUAUGUAUUGAGUAAUUGCCCUUGAUUCUGCCACCACAAAGAACAAAAUCAAGAUGUAAACCAUGCUUCGCGUAGUUGUUUCUUGUUCAGUUGACGAAUUGAACAGUCAAAGAUUGACUAAACACUUGAUCCUUCAUCAUGGUCGCAUGAUCUAUCAGCAAUCGAAUCAGCACCCUUUGACUAAAUACUUUCAUCUUUCAUGAUGGUCACACAGUAUAAUACACCACGAACAGAAAGACUUACCGAAUAGCUUCAAAUCUCCGUCCUCAAAGGCCGGGACUUGACCGAAAGGCUGCACAGAGAGAUCCAGAAACGUUAGAUCUGAGCGAGACGAAAGAGGGUUUCUUGAAAGAGCACAUUCAGACCCCCCAAGACCGAAAAUCUGCGAGUAUAAAGGUCGAACUGGUGGUGGGCAGGUAAGGAGACUUACGUUGAGGGCGAGGAAGUGCUCCUUCUUGUGCUCGCCGGCCCGCAUGUCGACGGGGACGAACUCGAACUCGAGGCCCUUCUCGUUGAGGGCAAUGAGUACCCGCAUAGCCGCGGUGGAUAAGACGCUUCCGUGGACCUUCAUCACCAUGGUGGCUGGCUCUGCUUUCUUUUCUUUAUCUCUCUCUCUCGAAGGCUAAAUGCAGAACAGAUGUGGCGAAAGAGGGUGGGUUUUGGGCUCUUUUUAUAAGGGUUUCAGGAUCUCGUUCUGGAAUGAUCCAAUUGACUUUUAAAAUUCGAUUUUUCUUUCCCAUUCAACGAGAUAAUUUUGCUUUUUUUAUCUUUGUUGUUUAUACUUAGGAGAUGGAGAUGCAAAAAUGGCUCCUUGUCGGAUGAAGAGAGAGAGAGAGAGAGAGACGGACGCGACGAUUCCUGAGAAGCCAUUUUGAUAUUCAUCUCGCACUUUCUUCUCUUCAUUCGAUGUCUGAACAGAUCAAAAGAAAGGCGCAGACACCUACGUGCGCACGUCAUGCGGCGAGUAGCUCGUGCCAAAAGCGCCUAUCUACCGACCCAAAAAAAAGAAGCGCCUAUCUACCGACAAAAAAGAAAAAAAAAGCGCCUAUCUUGGGAAGGAAGAUACAUUUAGGGGAUAUUUGGUAGCUAUCUAAAUAGUAUCUGAUUCUGAUUUUUUCUUUCUGAAAGUAAUUUUGAAAUGGAAUCUCGUUUGGUAAAAUUUUUGUUCCAGAAAUAAAUUUAUAUUUUUCUUGUUCUCGAAAAUAGAUUUGAAAUAGAAUCAAGAAUAAAAAAAAAAAUUGACUCUUAUUCUAUAAACAAAUCUAAAAAUCAAAAUCAACUUUUCUUCUUCUUCUUUUUUCUUCUUCUUCAUCAACCGACAUCCCGCAAAUACUAUCCGCCGCCGUCCACCAUCGUUCGCUACCGGUCGCCGACAACCGGUCCGGCGAGCACCGAAGGCUCGCCAGGCCAAGACGAGGUCCAGCGAGCUCGCUGAGGCUUAGGCUUGGCCUUACCAGAUUUAGCGAGGUCGAGCCUUGCCCAACUACCGGCGAUGCUCGGCCAACGAGGGCCAACAAAACUUCAAUGAGGUCGCCAGCCACAAGAAGAAGAAGAAGAAGAAGAAGAAGAAGAGAAAAAAUGGGAAAAAAAGUAAAAAUGAAAAAAAAUAAUUGAUUUGGAACAGAAUCAAUAAGCAUGAUACCAAACGCAAUUCUAUUCCAAAAUCAGAAAUUUUAAAUAAUUAUUAAAUGGCUUAAAAUGUUUAGAAAUUGUUCCUAAGAAUAGAAUAAAAAAUAAUCAUUUCUGAUUAGAAUUUGUUCUCGAGAAUAAAAUCAUUACCAAACACACUCCUAAAGGGCGAGGAUGUAACUCCACUCUUCAGAAAAGACUUUGAGAAAACGUGAAUCAUGUUUCAAAAAAUGGAUUACUACAAAUGUAUCAUGCAGUCCCUAAAAUUUAAUUUUGUACAACGUGAUCCGUGAGUUUUUAUUAUAUAAUAUCAUUUCUAAAUUUUUAAUUUAUUUUAUAUAAUCUUUACAUUAUUGAUAAAUAUUUAGUAUAAUCUUUAAAUUAUAUGAAUUUGUUUAAAAAUUUAUUAUCUAAAUUCUAGAUUCGAACAUAUUGAGAAAGUUUGACCAUACGUUGGAUUUUUUAAUAGAAUAUUAGACACGUGUUGGAGUAUCUAAUAUGACUCAAAAACUCUGGAGAAUGUCGACGUUUCCCAUAGCAGAGUUAGCUUUUUUGAUUGGUCAAAUCAAACAAAUUAAUAAAAAAUUUUAUUAUACAUUUUAAAAUAUUAGGGGUCAAUUACACGACAAAAUUUAAAAUUUCCGAUGCAUAUAUCCCUUAGUGUAAAGGCAGUACUCAUCCAUGAAUAAAGUGCAGUGAACUAGGCGAAGCUUUAGGGAAGCCUUAGGCCAUCCCAUGGAGAUGAUGAGAGGAGGGGUUUUCAUCAGUAGAGAUAAUACCAGCACUUGCAGAAAUCAUUACAUUCUAAUGAAACUACAAAGAUGAGGCAUAUAAAACAAUGACCCAUGAAACAUAAUUUUGCAUCUGUCCAAUCUUUUUAUUGCUCAUAAUAGAAAAUCACAGAACUUGCAGUUCGGCGAAACGCCAGCCUGGUCAUCAUCUCCGACUUUGAUGAUUGAAGACGACCCUUCAGAGAAAAUCCCACAUAAAACAUUGACCAAAGGAGGAUAGAAUCGACAGCAAAAUACGAUUACCAACUCAUAUAGAAAGGGGUAGAAAAGGUCUAAUGUUAUCGUCCCCUAGCACCAGAUGAUUUAAGCUAGACCCAUUGCUUCACUGCUGGUUUCUCAUGGUAAGAACCUUGGCCAAAGCCGGCGGGGUCACGAUGUCAGCCACCCAAGCACUCACCUUCGGGCGGGCGUCCAAUAGCUUCUUCACAAGUGUCCCCAUCAGGCUGGUCAAGGCCGAGAGGUGGUGGAGGUCAGCCAGGGUGAAGCAGUCGCAGCUUAAAUACUUGGACUGGCUCAGCCGAGCCUCGUAGAUGUCGAGGACCUUGGCAAGGUUGGCCUCCUUAUCCUAGAUGGGCUAAGUCAAACGGGUUUUUCAUUUGAUGGGUCAAGUUAAGUCUGUUCGCCCACUCAGCCCAUAAAAGGAAAAUACAGUUAUUUUCUAAGUGAAAAUAACUGUAAUAUAUAAAAUAAAAAUUAAAUGUUCAGAGAGAAAACACGUUUCUCCAUUUUCUUCUCUUUGAAACAGUUCACUCUCUCUUGAAGAAGGAGAAUUCUGAGAUUGCAACAAUGUUUUUUUGAACAUGUUUCUGCGUUCGUUUUUUAUAUUCGAUCGUUUGAGUAUCAGUUCGAUUUUCAGAAAUCUAUUUGCCGCAUCCUUGACUACUGCAGCAUCCGUGGCCAUACCAAUUUUCGACUUGUACACGAGCUCCCAAUGCAGCUUCGACGCUGCCGGGUCAAACUGGUGGGCCUCGACUUCCAUCCACGAGAAAAUAUUGGCUUUGCCCUCGCAAACGAGGGAGCGCCCUUGUCCUCGUAUACGUGAGCAAUGUAUUGAGUAAUUGCCCUCGAUUCUGCCACCACGAAGAGCAUAAUCAAGACAUAAACUAUAUUUCGCGUAGUUGUUUCUUGUUCUGUUGACUGAGUGAACAGUCAAAGAUUGACUAAACACUUGAUCUUUCAUCAUGAUUGCACGAUCUAUCGGCAAUCGAAUCAGCGCCCUUUGACUAAAUACUUUCAUCUUUCAUGAUGGUCACACAAUAUAACACAUCAGUAAUAGAAAGACUUACCCAAUAGCUUCAAAUCUCCGUCCUCAAAGGCCGGGACUUGACCGAAAGGCUGCACAGAGAGAUCGAGAAACGUUAGAUCCAAGAGACGAAGGAGGUUUUCUUGAAAGACCACGUCGAGACCCCACGACCAGAAAAUAGUUAGGAAUACUGUGGCACGGGCGGUGGGCGGUGAUGGAGACUUAAGUUGAGGGCGAGGAAAUGCUCCUUCUUGUGCUCGCCGGCUCGCAAGUCGACGAAGACGAACUCGAACUCGAGGUCCUUCUCGUGGAGGGCAAUGAGGACCCGCAUCGUCGGGGCGGAGAAGACGCUUCCGUGGACCUUCAUCACCAUGAUUGCUCGCUCUGCUUUCUUUUCUUUAUCUCUCUCUCAGAACCUGAACGCAGAACAGCUGUGGCGAUCAAUGGUGGGUCUCGGGCUCUUUUUAUAAGGGCUUCAGGAUCUUGUUCUGGAAUGAUGUAAUUGACUUGAACAUUUCGAUUCUGGUAUGCCCUUCAACGAGAUAAUCUUGCCUUGUAUCUUUUAUUGUUUACAGUUAGCAGGUGGAGAUGACAGUAAUGGCUCCUUGUCGGGAUGUGGGGAGAGGGAGAGAGAGACGCAGGCGAUAAGUCCUCCGUAGCCAUGUUCCUGUCCGUCGGCGAGGUUCUUAUCUCCCAUUCUUGGAAAGGAGAUACUAUUGCUGUACCAUUAUUAUUUCCUAUUUCUGCUAAAUUCAACACCAUCUAUCACGGCCCUACUUUUUUCGUCGUCUGAAAGUUUCUCAGAAAAUGAAAUCCAUCGGUGGCAGUUGGGAUUGGACAGCCUGAACCUGAAACUGCGUGGACUCUACCGGCGGAUUUGGUCCAAUUUAUGAGAAUAUCAAUGUGGUUCCGAUUUUGAGGCAGAAUUGAAUUAGACCGACUAAUUAUUUUUUUAUUUAUUCAAAAAAUUAGUGAAAUAUGAACUAAAUACUAAAGCAAUGAGAAAAAAAAAAAACUAUCGAUUCCAUUAGAUCAUACCAGAAUUGGAUCGAAUCGAUGAUGUGGUCCGAUUUCCAAUUGUAGGACUAAUCGAUCCAAUCCUCAGUUCUAAUUUUUGGGAACAUGACCAUCUCCUAGUCAGAUUUCCGAUUUCACCUUGGAAUUGAAUCGGAUCAGAAACUAAUCACCCUUACUCAAAAGGAGACAACAAAUCUCUGUGUAGUAGGUAGCACAUCAAUAAGUCACUUGUGUGAAACGUGCCUCUACUCAGAAGGAGAAUUUUUUGAAAAUCAAAAAGGCAAUCCUCUCUUUAGAAAGACUUUGAGAAAACAUUAAUUAUGUUUAAGAAAUGAGAGAAAAUGGAAUGAAUUUUCAGGUGGGUUGAAAAUAAAGAAAACUUCUAAUUUUACUUAAGGCAUAAAAAGAGUGGAAAGUGUUUCUUGUUUUCCUUUUCUUUUUCUUUUUUUUGUAAUUUUCUUCUCUCUUCCAUUGACCAUGAUUGCAAACAUAAGGAAAGGACUAAAAGUUGAAUUUGUUCUUCUUUUUUUUAUCGAAGAAAAUUUUAUUGAAAUUACGAACAUGGUGUAAAGAGCUCCGAGCAAGGCGAAUCUGAACAAAGGAGGGCCCAAAGGGUUUGAGGAGGAAAAGAAAGCCGGUUUUGUGGAAGUGAGCCAAUCCAUCAUGUCGGUUACUGCAUUAGAAGCCCGCGAAAAAUGGGCUAUGCGAAUGGAUGGAUGGGCCUUGAGUAGCUUUAUAAAAUUCAUGAUAAGAAGUCACUCCUCCCGGUUGAAAUUAUUCGUAAACCCGCUUACCAAAGCUUCCACGAGAUCGGCAUGGUUGAGCUCAACUGCAUAGUUUGCGGAACUAUCUUCACUCAAAACUACAAGCUGGAUUGCUUCAAGGACGGCUAGGGCUUCCGCCUAAGAAGGUGAUGAGAUCUUCACCAAUUUGGGGAAACCCGUAAUAAUAAUACGAGCACGAUCUCUGUAGAUACCAGCUACGGUGCCAUCCACCAAUUCAUCGACAAAGGAGCCAUCAACAUUGGAUUUUAGGAUUUUCUACUCCAAUGGAACCCAAGUCUGCAACUUAUAAACGUGGGAUCUUUUCUUGUAUUUGAUGUAUGAAAGAUCCAUUUUAAGUAAUUUGGUCGCUAGAAAUAUGUUGAUUGCAUGGUAUGUCGUGCGUUCAGAAAUUUGCCCCGAAAUACAUUAUAAAAAGAAAAUAUCAAUGAACUUCUAUGAAAUUGUUUCACGGAUUCAGGCAAUUGUCUUGAUCGUGAAAUAUCAUUGAGAAAAAGGAAUUUGUAUUAUUAAAAGAUUUCCUGCAAUUAUUUCUAGUAUGGAAUGAAUCAAUCAUCCACUUUGGUAUCUUAUUGAACAAAAAUGGUGAUAUUGUUCCUUGAUUGAUCAAUAAUUUCGAUUUUUAGAAAGUAUCAUGAUCAUCCAAAAAUAAUGGCUUCCAUUUUUACAAAUAAACGAUUUGAAGACCUAUUGAUUCUAACAACUGAUUGCAGAGUUGAUCAUUCGGACCUUUCAAUUCAUAGACGUGGAUCUCGAACCUAUGAAUGGGGUUAUUCAUGAAACUCACAAAGAAAAAAGGAAGUGAGUUAGACAAAAGAAGAAGAAGAAGAAGAAAUUUGGACAAAAAAGAUUUCGAAUAGCUAUCAUGAAUUCAAAUUAAUUAUGUUUAGUUUCUUACUCGGAGAAAGACGAUCCAAAAUUCCCAAUCACGGUACUUGCAAAUCGGAUCAUCCAUAUAAUAUACAAAAAGAAACUCCAGAUAUUUGAUAUAUUUUCCUUUGAAUGAGAUCUCAAUUCCAACGAUGGUUUCAUUAGAUAUCUUACAACUAGAAUCCUCUUUUUUCCGAUCAAAUUCCUCCAGCACUGCAAACCCAAGUUAAAUCCAGGCAUGAUACACUUUUUCGUUAUUGGGAGAACUUAAGUACUCUCUUUCGGAUCCAAGAAAAAGCUCUCGAAGAUCUUAAGAUCUUUCCUUUUGGAAGAUAAAGGAGCGAAAUGAUCAACUUAUUGAUAUUGGAAGACCCAAGACCCAAACGAUUCUUCCAAUGUAUCAUUUCUAGGUCCAAUGGAAUUCAUAGGUAUAGGAAAAUGCCCUAUCAAAUAGAGAUUUUUUUUCUUUCGGCCAUAUUUCAAUUAUUAAUAUGAUAUAUAAGGACUACUACUACAAAUAGUACUACACCCUUGAUCGUGAAAUAUCAAUUGCUUGUUGAAUCUUGUGAAUUGCGUGAAAGUAGGAUACUCCAAAUUCGGGGGUCCAGGAGUUUUAUAAAAUGUUCUUGGUGGAAAAAAAUGUGGAUGAAAGAUCCCAUGAAAUUGAAUUGGGUCCAUGAAUCUAAGAAAUAGUGAGAAUUAUGGAUCUCUCAAUUCGAAAAUCCAGGAUUUGAAUUGAUGUCCUUUCAUUGAUUUCUCCUAAAUUGCAUUAAUUUCUCCUAAAGAUUUCAUUUCAAUUGGAAUUUGGUUAUUCACCGUGUAUGAGGAUCCCUGCUAAGCAUCCAUGGUUGAAUGGUUAAAGCGCCCAACUCAUAAUUGGCGAAUUCGUAGGUUCAAUUCCUAUUGGAUGCAUGCCAAUGGGACACUACAAUAAAUCUAUUGGAAUUGACUAUAUAUCAAUGGAAUCUGAUCAUCCAUACAUAACAAAUUGAUGUGGUAUAUUCAUAUCAUAACAUAAGAUAUUGGGGAAGAAAAUUGAUUUAUGGAAGAAAAAUUAUUAGGGAAAAAUCAAUAUACCUUUAAUGCCGAAUCAAGAUCAAGUAGGACAUAAAUAAAGCAUUGGGUCGAACUCUUCUGAAAGGAUAGAAGAAUAGGACCUAUUAUCGUUAGAAGAAUGGGACCUAUUCUUGGGCAUACAAAGCAUUACAGACGUAUGAUCAUUACACUUCAACUAGGUUAUUCUAUUCCCAUCUUAAAAAGAAACGAACUUAAAUCAAAAUGGUUAAUAUUAAUAGCAUAGCAAUAUAUUUAUACAAAACUUCUAUCUUGGGAUAGAAGUUUUGUAUAAAUAUAUCGCUAUGGAGCCGUAGACAUACACGAAAUAAUUUGAUCUAUGGACGGCAUCAUUGUAAUAAAGGUUGUAAUGCUAGAGGAAUCAUUACCGCAUGGCAUAGAGCAGGAUUUUCAAAUACUCCAAUGAGUUGUAGUUGCCAUGGGUAAUUUUAAAUUUGAUUUACAAUGCACUACUUAUAAGUAAAAUGAGAAAAACGGUGCAUUGAAAACUGCAUAAUUCUCUUUAUAUUUUUUUAACAAGUUCAUAAAAGCACUUUUAAACAAAGUCCAAUUUGGAUAGGAGAAUUUUCAUUUGGCCCCACCAUUUUGAUCAUUUGCUUGCAGCCAUGCAAAGAAAGUGACCAGAUUUGGCCCAUAAAUUAUAAACAAGUUAAUAAAGACUUAAGUGGAAAGGACAAAUAGUAACUUCAACCUCAAAUAUUUCCCAGCCUGAGAGUUUCUUAGUAGAUCCACUGUUCCAUGUCGUGAGAUCAGCCUUUUGGAUGAGGAAUGAGUAGUGUGCAAAAAUCAAGAAUUCAUUGUGCAAUUGGCACGCGCCCACCCUACCAGAGCAGCCAUGGCCAGGAUCCGGAAGAAACUUGUUGUGGCCAUGAUGGUGAGCUCGACGGAGCUCAAGUGGCCAGCUCAAAGCAGGGACAGUGGGAGGGUGGCUUCUGGUUUCUUAUCAAUUUUAUUAUAUCCUCUUUCUCUUUCUCUAAACUUUUUAUUAUAAAAUCUUUUAAUUCUUUUCCAGACGUGGCGUUAGGUAGAGUCAGCUUUUAGUUGGUCAAAUCAAAUGAAUUAAUAAAAAUGUUCCUUAUACAAAUUUGAAUAGGAUUCAGUUCGUACUAUUUAAAAGUUUUAGGUCAAUUACAUUUGCUUGAUGAAUUUUAGAAUUUCUGAUGUAGGUACCCCUUUGUGUAAAGGUAAUACUCAUCCAUGAAUAUAGUCCAGUGAACUUCUAUGGUACUUUAACAGUUGAAAGCGGGUGAAGCUUUCGUGACUAGUAGGGAAACCGUAGGCCAUCCUAUGGAGAUGAUGAGAGGAGAGGUUUUCAUCAGUAGAGAUAAUACCACUACCAGCACUUGCAGCAAUCAUUACACUCUAACGAAACUAGAAAGAUGAGACAUACAAGCCAAUGACUCAUGAAACAUAACUCUGCAUCUGUCCAAUCUUUUUAUUGCUCAAAAUAGAAAAUCACAGAACCAGAAGUCCAGUUCUGCGAAACACCAGCCUGGUCAUCAUCUCCAACUUUGAUGAUUGAAGACGACCCUUCAGAGAAAAUCCCACAUAAAACAUUGACCCAAGAAGGACAGAAUCAACAACCAAAUACAGCUAACAACUCAUAUAAAAAGGGGUAGAACAGGUCUAAUGUUACGGUCCCCGGCACCCGAUAAUUUAAACUAGACCCCUUUGCAUCACUGCUGGUUCCUCAUGGCAAGAACCUUGGCCAAAGCCGGCCGGGCCAUGAUGUCGGCCACCCAAGCGCUCACCUUGGGGCAGGCGUCGAACAGCUUCUUCACAGGUGAAGCCAUCAGGUUGGUCAGGGCCGGGAGGUGGUGGAGGUCGGCCAGGGUGAAGCAGUCGCAGCCCAAGUACUUGGACUGGCUCAGCCGGGCCUCGUAGAUGUCGAGGACCUUGGCGAGCUUGGCCUCGUUCUCCUCGACUACGGCGGCGUCCGUGGCCAUGCCGAACAUCGGCUUGAACACGAGCUCCCACUGCAGCUUCGACGCCACGGGGUCAAACUGGUGGGCCUCGACCUCCAUCCACACGCCCACGGUCGCCAUGGGUUUGCCCUCGCACACGAGGGGAGUGCCCUUGUCCUCGUAUACAUGAGCAAUGUAUUGAGUAAUUGCCCUGGAUUCUGCCACCACAAAGAACACAAUCAAGAUGUAAACUAUACUUCGCGUAGUUGUUUCUUGUUCAGUUGACGAAUUGAACACUCAAAGGUUGACUAAACACUUGAUCUUUCAUCAUGGUCGCACGAUCUAUCAACAAUCGAAUCAGCACCCUUUGACUAAAUACUUUCAUCUUUCAUGAUGGUCACACAAUAUAAUACACCACUAACAGAAAGACUUACCGAAUAGCUUCAAAUCUCCAUCCUCAAAGGCCGGGACUUGACCGAAAGGCUGCACAGAGAGAUCCAGAAACGUUAGAUCUGAGAGAGACGAAGGAGGGUUUCUUGAAAGAGCACAUUCAACCCGCCAAGACCGAAAAUCUGCGAGUAUAACGGUCGAACUGGUGGAGGGCAGGAACGGAGACUUACGUUGAGGGCGAGGAAGUGCUCCUUCUUGUGCUCGCCGGCCCGCAUGUCGACGGGGACGAACUCGAACUCGAGGCCCUUCUCGUUGAGGGCAAUAAGGACCCGCAUAGCCGCGGUGGAUAAGACGCUUCCGUGGACCUUCAUCACCAUGGUCGCUGGCUCUGCUUUCUUAUCUUUAUCUCCCUAUCUCGAAGCCUAAAUGUAGAACAGAUGCAGAACAGAUGUGCUUUAUUAUCUUUAUCUCCCUAUCUUGUUUUGGAAUGAUCUAAUUGACUUUUAAAAUUCGAUUUUUCUUUCCCAUUCAACGAGAUAAUUUUGCUUUUUUAUCUUUGUUGUUUAUACUUAGGAGAUGGAGAUGCAAAAAUGGCUCCUCCUUUUCUUUUCUCUCGCGUCCUUCCUUUCUUUUCCCUCUGCACCUUGUCAGAAAAAGGACAAAGUCCUUUGUUGACCUGUUGAAAAAAACGAGAGAGAACUCCCUUUUUUUUAAAUCUAACGUCCGCCCCCUCUUUCGUCCGUUUGCGAGCGGCUUUUAUGGGCGAGGUAUUAAGGCUUUCUAGAAUAUUUUAUUUCCUUUUUCACAUCGGAUUCACAUUUCCUUUCUCAACAUGCAUGAAGAUAUAUUGUCGAAAUAUGUACCCCACAUGCAAUAUUUCUUUUUAUUUUCCACAUCUCUUCUAGCCUUGUUUGAUUUCCUUUAUAUGCACUUCAUAUCUUUCCACAUUAAAUUAUGCAAAAAAAAAAGAAUAUUCUCCAUCGAUUUUUAUUAUAUAUUGCCAAAAAUUCAAGAUUAUAAUAGGAUUUUCUCAAAUUCUAAAUCUUGUCAAGAUGAGCUCGUAAUAUCUCCUUCUCACACUUGCCCUUUUUGAGAAUAUAUGAAUAGAUUACAUGAACAUACAAAAAAUCCUCUAUCAUAUCACUAAAAAUAUCGAAUCGUCAAUUCUUAUAAGUUAAUCUUUGGUCAUCAAAAAAUAAUGGGCUUGGGCCAAUUCCAUUUCAACGCAGGCUUAGUCCAACUUGCUAAAUUUAAGCUCAGAACCAUCAAAUUAAAUCCAUUCGUCACCAACCCAAUGCAAAUGUAAUAAAAAAAAAAAGUUCUCUUAAAACUACAUGUUAUGUAAUUUAAUUAUAAUUUUUUUUUGUUUAUGGGUUAAAAAUUAAUCUCUAAUUUUUAAAAGGGAAAACCUCAAAUAAGGAUUGAAAAUGGCUUCGUUUUCUCAAAAAAGAACCUAAAGUGAAGUUUGUCUCAAAUAAGGACCUAAAGUAGUCAUUUAGUCUCAAAAAAUGACCUAACUCGCCGGCCAAUGAACUAAUGCAUUUCUGAUGCGUAUUCCGGUGACCUAAUCAAGGUAUUUUCAUCCAAAAAAUAUUCUCUUUUCAUUUUCCUUUUCCCCUGUUCAUCUUCUCCAUCUGCGAGCAGACCUCCAAUAUCUCGCCAGUGAAGUAAUUGCCGACGAGAUCAAGCCACUUCAGCUUCUUGAGCCUUGCCACCUCCAGCGACAGCGGCCCCGUGAACUUGUCAUUGCCCAAGUGGAGUUCUUCAAGCUAGGUUAUCGCCUGUAAGACUUUGCUGGGGAAGAUCCCAAAGAGGUUGAGGAAUUGGAGGGAGGUGGGGCUGCCGAGCUUUGGCGGGAGGGUCCUGGUGAGGUUGUCGGUGGUGAGCGUGAGGUUGACGAGGUCACAAAGAAGGCCAAUUUUCGGGUGGGAUGUAGCUCGGGAGGCCGACGGAUGUGAUGUUGAGAGAGACGACCCACGAGCCAGCGUCGCAUGUGACUUCGGUGAAGGAGCAAUGCGGAAAGGGCGGUGGCAAGAAGGAGGAGGAGGAGUUGACCCAGUCGCUGAUGGCGGCGGAGGGAGGCUCGACCAUGGCGGUUUUGGGCUUCAAGAGCAUGUCCAGGUCGCUCUGUGCGAGGGAAGCAGAGAUGAAGAGGAGGAAGAAGAAGACUCCAUUGUAGGGCAGUUUCAUCCUCAGUGAGUUCGACGAGGCCAGCAAGGGCUCGCCGACCUCGCCGACCACUGGUAAGGGUAGGCGAGGGCUUGGCCCUCGCCUGCUGCCAACGCCUGCUACCGGCGAUAGGCGUUGAGCCCUCGCUGGCCUCAGGUGAGGCCAACCCACACCGGUCCCACGACCUUCGCUGGCCCUUCCCUACUUCCGAUGUCCUUGAUUUGGGCAAUGCCUAUCUUCGACGAAGAAGACGAUGAAUAGGGACAACCAUGGGUAGAUCAAGAAGAAGAUGAACAGGAUAAGGAAAACAAAAAGAUAAUAUUUUUUGGACAAAAAUACUCCAGACCAGGUCGUUGGAAUACGCAUUGAAAAUGCAUCAAUUCGCCGGCCGACAAGUCAGGUCCUUUUUUGAGACUAACUUAUGUGGCCAAGAGACCAUUAAAACUAUUUUUAUUACUCUUUUAUUUAUAGAAAAAAAUCUCCUUGUUAGUUUUUGUUGGAAAUAUGAUUUGUUUUUUUUAUUCUAAGUAUCUAAAUGCGGUUAAUUGAUUCUAUGAAUCCAUGAGAUUGGAUAUUAGGACAGUAGUAUAGGAAACAACAUAUUUUGUAUAUUCUUUCCUAUCGUACUCUUUUCUUGUAUUAUUAAUAGGUGUGUAAUACAUGUACAAACACAGCAAUACACAAUACAUAAAAUUCCUCCAAUUCAUUCUCAGUUUUUGUCAAUUUUCUUUCUCAUUUUCUAUCAGUUUCAUCUUCUACUUCAUGUGGGACUAAGGUUCCAAGAGACCCACAAGGCACUUCAAGCCUCCAAGAGUCCCACAUUGACUAAACAUUUAAAGAGCAGAGAUUGUCUAUAAAAUCUAAGCUAUGCAUAACUUUUAGCCAAAUUAUUCACGGCUUUCAUGGUUAAAGUUAAGUGUGAAACACACGAAGUGUGAAUCACAUUUGAAUAUUUUGCACGUGGAAACAUGUGUGAUUAGUUUUGUUGAAUUGCUCGAGAACCGAAUUGGAUUGAUCGGUCUGGAGCGCGGUCACUCUUUAGUGCAAAAAAGUAGAGCCGAUUUUGUUGGACCGGACCGGACCGGACCGGAACCAAUGGUCGGUCCGGUUCCCGGUCCUAGGACCAAACGGUCCGGUCCACGGUUUGCAAUUUUGGGAAUCGGUGCUCCCGGUCCGAUUCCCGGUUCCAAGGUGGAACCGGACCGAACCGGGAACCGAUCACCCCUAGCUGGCCCUUCCCUACUUCCGAUGUCCUUGAUUUGGGCAAUGCCUAUCUUCGACGAAGAAGACGAUGAAUAGGGACAACCAUGGGUAGAUCAAGAAGAAGAUGAACAGGAUAAGGAAAACAAAAAGAUAAUAUUUUUUGGACAAAAAUACCCCAGACCAGGUCGUUGGAAUACGCAUUGAAAAUGCAUCAAUUCGUCGGCCGACAAGUCAGAUCCUUUUUUGAGACUAAAUGACUGCUUUGGGGCCUUAUUUGAGAUAGAUUCCAUUUAAGGUCUUCUUUUGAGAAAAUGGGACCACUUUAGGUCUCUAUUUGAGAUUUUCCCUUUUUAAAAUGAUAAACAACUAAUCGUGGUUCUUUACCCAAAAAAAAAAAAAAAACAACUAAUCGUGGUUGUCAAAAUUUAUAUGUCAACACACCUCUUAGAAAUAAAAGAGCUUAAAUAAAAAUACUUAAUAUUAAUAGCAUGUUGAUACAUUUAUACAAAACUUCUACCCCGGGCACACGUAAUAAAGUCGUAGAUAGUCAAGUGAAAUCUAAUAUGCGAAAUAAUUUGAUUUAAGGACAGCAUCAUUGUAUUAAAGGUCGUAAUGCCAAAUGAAUCAUUACCGCGAGGCAUAGAGCAGGAUUUUCAAAUACUCCAAUGAGUUGUGGUCACCGUGGGUAAUUUUGAAUUUGAUUACAAUGCACUACUUAUAAGUAAAACGAGAAAAGUGGUGCACUGAAAACUGCAUAAUUUUCUUUAUUUUUUUUAACAAGUUCAUAAGAGCACUUUUAAAGAAAGUCCAAUUUGGAUAGGAGAAUUUUCAUUUGGCCCCACCAUUUUAGUCAUUUGCUUGCAGCCAUGCAAAGAAGUGACCAGAUUUGGCCCAUAAAUUAUAAGCAAGUUAAUAAAGACUUAAGCGGAAAGGACAGAGUAACUUCAACCUCAGAUAUUUCCCAGCCCGAGAGUUUCUUAGUAGAUGCACUGUUCCAUGUCGUGAGAUCAGCCUUCAGGACGAGGGACGAGUAGUGUGCAGAAAUCAAUAAUUGAUUGUGCAAUUGGCACGCGCCUACCCUGUAAGAGCAGCCGUGGCCAGGAUCCGGAAGAAACUUGUCGUGGCCAUGAUGGUGUGCUUGACGGAGCUCGAGUGGCCAGCUCAAAGCAGGGAUAGUGGGUGGGUGGAGUCCGUUUUCUUCUCAUUUUUAUUUAUCAUCCUUUUUUUUUUUUAGGGAAAAAGCCACCAAAAACCCUCCCAACUUUGCCUCGAGUGACAGAUUUACCCCGAACUUUGUUUUGUGACGUGAAAAACCCCGAAAUUUACUAACUGUGACACAUUUACCCCAAACUUUUAUUUGUGUGACAUAUUUACCCUAAAUCAUAAGGGAAUUUUGGUAUUUUUACUUUUAAAAACUUUUUUCUUUUUUUUUUUCUUUUUUUUCUUCUUCUUCUUCCUUCCUUCCGCCGGCCAUGGCGGAGCCGGCGUAGGAAGCCGAUUUUUGCGAGGGCCUCCCUACUAAAAUCAGGGGAGGUGCCCCUGGCGAGGGCACCCUCGCCCGACGCCGGCGUCGAGCGAGGGAGGCCCUCGUCCAAUCCAGUCGAGGGCUGCCCUCGCCGGACGCCAACUUCCCUCUGCCAGCCAGCCGGCGGAGGAAAGAGAGAAGAAGAAAAAAAGAAAAAAAAAAAGAAAAAGAAAAAGAAAAAAUAGAAAUAAUAAGACGAAAAUACCCUUAAUGGGGUAAAUGUAUCACAGUUAGCAAACUUCGGGAUUUUUCACGUCACAAAACAAGUUUGGGCUUUUUGGUGGUUUUUUCCCUUUUUUUUAUUCUCUAAAUUUUUAUUAUACAAUUUUUAAUUCUUUUCCAGAUGUGACGCUAGGCAGAGUCAACUUUUGCUUGGAUAGAAGUUUUGUAUAAAUGCAUAGCCAUGCUAUUAAGCCAUGCUAUUAAUAUUAAGUAUUUUGAUUUAAGUUUUUUUUCUUUCUAAGAGGUGGAAUAGAAUUUUAGUUGUCAAAUCAAAUGACUUAAUAAAGAAGUUCAUCAUAUAAAUUUAAUUAGGAUUCAAUUGUACUAUUUAAAAGUAAGUUUUAGGUGAAUUGCAUUUGCUUGAUGAAUUUUAGAAUUUCUGAGGUAGGUAUCCCUUUGUGUAAAGGCAAUGCUCAUCUAUGAAUAUAGUCCAGUGAAAGUCUAUGGUACUUUAACAGAUGAAAGCGGGUGAAGCUUUCAUGACUGGUAGGGAAACUGGAGGCCAUCCCAUCCUAUGGAGGUGAUGAGAGGAGAGGUUUUUAUCAGUAGAGAUAAUACCUGCACCCGCAGAAAUCAUUACACUCUAAUGAAACUAAAACGUCAAAACAUUUAAGCCAAUGACUCAUGAAACAUGACUCUGCAUCUGUCCAAUCUUUUUAUUGCUCAUAAUAGAAAAUCACAGAACUAAAAGUACAGUUCUGUGAAACACCAGACUGGUCAGCAUCUCCAACUUUGAUGAUUGAAGACGACCCUUCAGAGAAAAUCCCACAUAAAACAUCGACCAAAGGACAGAAACAACAACAAAAUACGAUUACCAACUCAUAUAGAAAGGGGUAGAAAAGGUCUAAUGUUAUGGUCCCCCAGCACCAGAUAAUUUUAAACUAGAGCCUGGGCUUCACUGCUGGUUCCUCAUGGCAAGAACCUUGGCCAAAGCCGGCCGGGUCAUGAUGUCGGCCACCCAAGCGCUCACCUUGGGGCGGGCGUCGAACAGCUUCUUCACAUGGGUCCCCAUCAGGUUGGUCAGGACUGGGAGGUGGUGGAGGUCGGCCAGGGUGAAGCAGUCGCAGCCCAAGUACUUGGACUGGCUCAACCGGGCCUCGUAGAUGUCGAGGACCUUGGCGAGCUUGGCCUCGUUCUCCUCGACUACUGCGGCGUCCGUGGCCAUGCCGAACAUCGGCUUAAACAGGAGCUCCCACUGCAGCUUCGACCCCACCGGGUCAAACUGGUGGGCCUCGACCUCCAUCCACACGCCCAAGGUCGCCAUGGGUUUGCCCUCGCACACGAGGGGAGUGCCCUUGUCCUUGUAUACAUUAGCUAUGUAUUGAGUAAUUGCCCUUGAUUCUGCCACCACAAAGAACAAAAUCAAGAUGUAAACCAUGCUUCGCGUAGUUGUUUCUUGUUCAGUUGACGAAUUGAACACUCAAAGAUUGACUAAACACUUGAUCCUUCAUCAUGGUCGCAUGAUCUAUCAGCAAUCGAAUCAGCACCCUUUUGACUAAAUACUUUCAUCUUUCAUGAUGGUCACACAGUAUAAUACACCACGAACAGAAAGACUUAC
rnacentral:lncRNA from 1 species